rnacentral:rRNA from 1 species
AUGGGAAAGAAGUGCAGCACCUGCGGCAAGACCUACAAAACCAAACGUGCUUUUAAUGGCCACAAGAUGAAAUGCAAGUCCCCCAAGAAUCCUGAGCAAAAUGCCGCAGGACAGGAAGAGGCUUCAAGCAGUGUUGGUGAUAGGAAAGAUCUGCUUAAUUUUCAUAUAGAAAGGCGGCCACGGAGCAGCCGGGGUGCAGCGAAGGAGAUGGAUGGUGGAAAUGAAGUCUUUCCGUCAGAAGAGGAGAUAGAUGCUGCAGAGGGGCUUAGUCUUCUCCAGUACCCACGUGGCAAGGAUACAUCUUUUGAUAAUGAACCGGAAAUUGAUUAUUCAGGGGUUGAAUCAGCUGCUGAUAAUUCUGAUGCGGUGCAAGAGGACAACCCGACGCAGAAGUUGUAUCUUCUGUUGAUUUUGGGUAAACUCAUUAAGAUAAUAUCUGAUAGAAACUCAGCUUCUGUGGAUCUCUGUGGAGGUGCUGAAAAAUAUGGAAAUGAAGCCCUUUCGUUAGAAGAGACGGAAUUGAUUCACAAUGAUGAUGGUCAAAGGCUGGUUGAUUGUCCUGAAAAUUCUGUUGUGGUUGAGCCAAAACGGCCCAAGCUUGAUCUCAAGGUUUCUGACAGCAGUGACAGCCCAGCUUCUGAUGGUGCUCAAGGUGGCAACAAUGAUGCGUCGGGGUCUGGCACGCCGAAGCUGAAACAGACAUCUCUGACGGAGCCAAUGGCCACAGAGGCGGAUCGGGAACAAGAACAGAAGUCAGAUGUCUUAGAGGCUCCCCUGCCUCUCGAUACAACCUCUGUUGACCAAUCAGGAACUGACAAUCCAGGUGACGAAUCAGCUGCUGAUACUUCAGAUGAGGUGCGGGAUUCCAUGGUGCUGCUGCAGGUCGCACAAGGUCUCCUGGAUCUAAGAAACUGCACAGAUCGAUGA